UGUUGAGGUUAGUGUCUGGUGACCGUAGAUAUUUUAUUUUUUGUGUGCAAUUGUCAGUGAAGAUAAUGAGUACGCCGAAAAAUAUCGCGUUCACUCAAGCAGACAAAUACAUUUUGUUUGACUUGAUAAAAAAAUAUAAGAACAUAGUUGAAAAUAAGAAAACGGACUCUGUUUCAAAUACUGAAAAGAAGGCUACGUGGAAAAUUAUAGCCUUGGAGUUUAACGCAAGUAACGUGACAACUAAAAGAGAUGAUGGCCAGCUAAAAAGGUGUUGGGAAAAGACAAAAACCACAGCAAGGAAGCAUCGUCAAACAGAAAGAAGUCAUGCUAUGGCAACAGGUGGGGGCAAAGCUUUUGUUUCCCCACCUCAGCUGGAAGAAAUGGCAACUGUGGUUUCCUCUAUCCAGCCCUAUUUUGAUUUGGAGGUGGUUUCGGCAUGGGAUAGCAACACGAUCCACCUCCAGGAUGCCAGGGCUGACUGCAGUGCCACAACUGUUUGUGCAGAAGUAGUCGCAAUGGAUGAAGUGGCAGAUGCUCCAGACACCCCACCUCUAAUUAUUGGAGCUGCUAGGCCUACUACAUCCCAGAACUUUGAUAAUCCUGAUGAAACGUUUUUGGCUCCGAAACUGCCAAUUAACAAGAAGGGCUCCUUUUCUGUAAAGUCCGCCCACAUGGUUGAGGCAGAGGUAAAGAAAAGGAUUGAGAAAAUUGAUGAAGAGAUUAGAAUGCUUAGGGAAAGUCAUGCAGCAAAACUUAAACAAGAUGCUGAGUUGCAUGCUGCGGUAAUGCGGCAAAAUGAGGAGCUACACAAGGUUAAACUUGCAAGGGAACAACUUUUGUUGCGCCAGUUGCAGGCAGAUGAACAUAAAAGUACAGAAAAUAUUUGAAGUUAAUUUAUCAACAAUGUAAUUUUGUAUUUAGAAAUUUUGUCAUUGUUAAUUUAGUUUUGUAUUUAGAAUUUGUCCAUUUACAUAAAAUAAAAAAAUGUUUAUCUUCAUUUACUUUUAAUUGCAAAACCUGUUUGUACUAAUUGCAUGAUUAAAGUUUGAAGGGGGCUUAUAAUGUUGCAGCACUUUAUAAUUUAUAACUUUUGUAUG